GGUUGACCUCGGAUCAGGUAGGGAUACCCGCUGAACUUAAGCAUAUCAAUAAGCGGAGGAAAAGAAACCAACAGGGAUUGCCUUAGUAACGGCGAGUGAAGCGGCAACAGCUCAAAUUUGAAAGCUGGCUCCUUCGGAGUCCGCGUUGUAAUUUGUAGAGGAUGAUUCGGCGAGGGCUCCCGCCUAAGUCCCCUGGAACGGGGCGUCAUAGAGGGUGAGAAUCCCGUAUGCGGUGGGUUGCCUUAGCCAUGUGAAUCUCCUUCGACGAGUCGAGUUGUUUGGGAAUGCAGCUCUAAAUGGGAGGUAAAUUUCUUCUAAAGCUAAAUACCGGCCAGAGACCGAUAGCGCACAAGUAGAGUGAUCGAAAGAUGAAAAGCACUUUGGAAAGAGAGUUAAAAAGUACGUGAAAUUGUUGAAAGGGAAGGGCUUGCAACCAGACUUGUCCGCAGUUGCUCAGCCGGUCUCCUGACCGGCGUACUCUCCUGCGGCCAGGCCAGCAUCAGUUCAGGCGGUCGGAUAAAGACCCGGGGAAUGUAGCUCCUCUCGGGGAGUGUUAUAGCCCCGGGUGGAAUGCGGCCAGCUUGGACUGAGGAUCUCGCUUCGGCAAGGAUGCUGGCGUAAUGGUUGUAAGCCGCCCGUCUUGAAACACGGACCAAGGAGUCUAACAUCUAUGCGAGUGUUUGGGUGUCAAACCCAUACGCGUAAUGAAAGUGAACGGAGGUGGGAACCCGCAAGGGCGCACCAUCGGCCGAUCCUGAUGUCUUCGGAUGGAUUUGAGCAAGAGCAUAGCUGUUGGGACCCGAAAGAUGGUGAACUAUGCCUGAAUAGGGUGAAGCCAGAGGAAACUCUGGUGGAGGCUCGCAGCGGUUCUGACGUGCAAAUCGAUCGUCAAAUUUGGGUAUAGGGGCGAAAGACUAAUCGAACCAUUAAGAUAAGUAGUUUGUGCGAAAGCUUACACCUGUGGUAGUAACGUUGAACGAGGGUAAUUGUCUAUUAGGAGGUACUCUCCUCCCAGUGUUGAUAGUUAGUGAGGUACGUUGGUUUUAACGUUAAAAUUUAAACAGAUAAAACGCACUAUGCGAAUUAUCGCCUUACUAUGAGCUGGGUAGAGUAGUAGGUGUGGAGUUCCAAAGUGACUCCCGUAAGCAUCCUUUAAAAACCUAUUCAUCCUAUCUAGACACCGUUACUACGAGAUCAUUUGUUCUAUUUUGUCAGGAGUUGUGGAGUUUUUGCUUUUCGCUACUAGGUGGUUAAGAGGUGGCUAAAAGUGCCCACCUAGUCCUUCUAUCAGGGCGACACUGUUAAAUUGUUCGGGGACGCCCUUAGAGCUUAGACUACCGCGGCCCGCCGAAAGGCAGGGUGCAGCACCGGGGUAACGACCUAGGGUAUGGUAAUAACGUCUAAGAUUGGGCAACCCGCAGCCAAGCCCCUAAGUCCAGUAAAAUGGAUACGGGGAAGGUUCACAGACUAAAUAGCAGUGGGUUCGGCUGUAACAGGCCGGGUCUAAGAUAUAGUCGAUCCCCACGGAAACGUGGGCGGUGGGGCGAAGCUCAAAGGCAGAUAGGUGCGUCAAGCACGCCUUCAGGGCCCGAACCCCGCCGGGGAGCUGUUAUGGGCUUGCCUAGCAAGUCGUUGUGCAUGCUCAGGCCUGCAGCAGACUCUCGAGC
rnacentral:rRNA from 1 species